rnacentral:rRNA from 1 species
CCCUACGGGGGGCAGCAGUGAGGAAUAUUGGUCAAUGGGCGCAAGCCUGAACCAGCCAAGUCGCGUGAGGGAUGACGGUCCUAUGGAUUGUAAACCUCUUUUGUCGGGGAGCAAGGCCCGCCACGUGUGGCGGGAAGGAGAGUACCCGAAGAAAAAGCAUCGGCUAACUCCGUGCCAGCAGCCGCGGUAAUACGGAGGAUGCGAGCGUUAUCCGGAUUUAUUGGGUUUAAAGGGUGCGCAGGCGGAAGAUCAAGGCAGCGGUAAAAUUGAGAGGCUCAACCUCUUCGAGCCGUUGAAACUGGUUU